UUAUCCGGAUUCACUGGGUUUAAAGGGUGCGUAGGUGGGCUGGUAAGUCAGUGGCGAAAUCUCCAGGCUUAACUUGGAAACUGCCAUUGAUACUAUCAGUCUUGAAUACCGUGGAGGUCAGCGGAAUAUGUCAUGUAGCGGUGAAAUGCUUAGAUAUGACAUAGAACACCAAUUGCGAAGGCAGCUGGCUACACGAAUAUUGACACUGAUGCACGAAAGCGUGGGGAUCAAACAGG
rnacentral:rRNA from 1 species